rnacentral:rRNA from 1 species
UGAGGAAUAUUGGUCAAUGGGCGAGAGCCUGAACCAGCCAAGUAGCGUGCAGGAAGACGGCCCUAUGGGUUGUAAACUGCUUUUGUAUGGGGAUAAAGUCAAUCACGUGUGAUUGUUUGCAGGUACCAUACGAAUAAGGACCGGCUAAUUCCGUGCCAGCAGCCGCGGUAAUACGGAAGGUCCGGGCGUUAUCCGGAUUUAUUGGGUUUAAAGGGAGCGUAGGCUGGAGAUUAAGUGUGUUGUGAAAUGUAGACGCUCAACGUCUGACUUGCAGCGCAUACUGGUUUCCUUGAGUACGCACAACGUUGGCGGAAUUCGUCGUGUAGCGGUGAAAUGCUUAGAUAUGACGAAGAACUCCGAUUGCGAAGGCAGCUGACGGGAGCGCAACUGACGCUGAAGCUCGAAGGUGCGGGUAUCGAACAGGAUUAGAUACCCUGGUAGUCCGCACAGUAAACGAUGGAUGCCCGCUGUUGGUACCUGGUAUCAGCGGCUAAGCGAAAGCAUUAAGCAUCCCACCUGGGGAGUACGCCGGCNACGGUG